AUGAUAACUAGAAGACUUCAAAUUUCCAGAUACAGAAGUGUUCGUGAAAAUAAAUAUGUGUUUUUUUUAUGAUCACUAGCUCUUCUGUAGCUGAAAAAACUUGAAAAUAAUAUUUUAAUCG
rnacentral:precursor_RNA from 15 species